rnacentral:lncRNA from 1 species
UUUAUUAAACCUAAUGCACUUUUAUUUUCUGAGUUAACAUGGAAUUAAGCAUUAUCAUGAUAUUUACUUAACAUGAUGAUACAAGAGACUUUAGUUUGGCAUGUGAUGAAACCUUUGUUGUUCACAAAAUUAAGUUAUAUCAUAACAAAUUAGUUUGGGACACUAGUGAAUGAUUAUGAUUUAAUUUGAGAGAUUGAGGAGUUAUUAGGUAUAUAAAAUAAAUAGUAAAAGUUGAAUAUUUUUAUGUGUUGUAGUGGUAUUUUAUAUGAAGUCAAAAUGUUUUAUAUGGUGUGGAAAAAUCUUGCGUUUGAUGAGUCAAUGUAUAGUACAUUAUUGAUUCAAGAGGUAUAUCGUGUGAUUUAAAGUGGUCGGAUUGAAUAUGAAAGUAAGAUCUCUAGGUGAGAUCAUUUAGUGUAUUGAAGGAAUAUAAGAGGCUUCCAUAUGGGGGGUUAUCCCUAACACUCUAACGGUCUUUCAUUCUCACUUAGAGAGGAUUGACGCGUGUGGUGAGAGUAGUGAGAGGUCCUAGGGUAGGCGCUAUCACUGGAGGUCUAUUCUGCGGUAACAGACUAACCUUGUGUGUGGUCGGGUGAAACCCCUCGGUAAUGGCUUUGCAAAGCAGUAGAGGCCACCACAAGUGCACAACCCGCCCCAGCUCUACAUCCAUUCUAAGACCGGACGUGUCUAGAAGUCUUAACAUGAUAGGAUGCUUGUUUUGAUGAAUUGUAUGAAAUAAAAUUUCAUGUCUGUGAUGACUUACAUGUUUAUGUGUGUAUGGAUAUUCUUGGAAAUACUAGAUUUGAUUUGAAAUGAAUUGUAUGUUUGUUUGAGACCUA